rnacentral:misc_RNA from 1 species
GCCCCAUUUGAUAUAGAUUACCUGUUCUUACCAAAACAGAAAAAUAUAUAUAGAUAAAAUCAGUAGUGACUCUUGAGAGAUUCUAGGCAGAAAAUCAAAAGAAAGGGCAAUAUAAUGAAGGCAGCAAAAAAGAAUAAAAUAAAAUAAAAUGCAGCAGAGAAUGACAGUUAACUUGUGGCUCAACCUAAAAACAGAACGUGUUUCAUCUCAACAUUGUGAUGCAAUUCCAUGGACACGCACACAGCAUAACUAAUAAGUAAUAACUAGUUUCUAAAAUCACUCCUGCAACCCUUGGUACAAUGUCUAUCAAGUAUAUGCCGUAACAUGUCAGCAAAAAAUUAGUUCUCAUAUUGCCAUGUAAAUUCAGAGAACCAUGUUCUGUACUCAAAUUACUCGCUGUGAAUGGAAUAUCACCACUGAAAAAUUUGCACAUAAGAGGGAAAGAUUAAAGUUGGACGCAAGCACAUGACAACAUAUAAAACAGAAUGCAUCUCAUCUCAGCAUUUUAAGAUAUAAUUGCACGGACAUUAUACCUAAUACCUAGUUUCUAAAAUCACUCGAGCAACCCCACCCUUCCCCAUGUUGUUAGCAUAUGUCUAUCAAGCAAGAAGUGACAAAACAAUAAUAAAAAAAAAAGAAAAAUUGUUUUCCCAAAUUCUCAUGUAAAUUCAGAGAGAUGCAGUAUAUACUCAAAUAACUUUCAUCGUGAACGAAAUAUCA